UUUUAUGGAGAGUUUGAUCCUGGCUCAGGAUGAACGCUGGCGGCGUGCCUAAUACAUGCAAGUCGAGCGAACGGAUGAGAAGCUUGCUUCUCUGAUGUUAGCGGCGGACGGGUGAGUAACACGUGGAUAACCUACCUAUAAGACUGGGAUAACUUCGGGAAACCGGAGCUAAUACCGGAUAAUAUUUUGAACCGCAUGGUUCAAAAGUGAAAGACGGUCUUGCUGUCACUUAUAGAUGGAUCCGCGCUGCAUUAGCU
rnacentral:rRNA from 1 species